CCUCUCAUUUAUGUAUCCAAGAACGACGCCGACUCUAAAUCACUCUAUGUCAAUUUGGAUGAUAAUGUGAGUCACCAGAAAGAAAGGUUCUUUUUGGUUUUCCAUACCUCAGAUUGAGUUAGAUGAGCUGGAAAGUGUUUCCAUUCUGUCAAUGACCCUUGCAUGGGAUGAAUUUUCCUUCUCUACUUUUCAAGAAGCCCAUUAUUCGCUUCAAGAUUCUCUAGACCAGUUUUUACACCUUUGUGAAUGAAAAAAGGGAAUCUUUCAUUAUGGUUUGGUUGGGCCUUUCUCUUUGUUUUCUAUAAUCUAGAGGAUCCUUAUCUUCUUGGGUUCUGAAAAAAUAAAAACAUCAACUCCCUCCUGUAUUUAUGCUUGAUGUUAUUUCCUACG